rnacentral:rRNA from 1 species
AUAUCAAUAAGCGGAGGAAAAGAAACUAACAAGGAUUCCCCUAGUAACUGCGAGUGAAGCGGGAAAAGCUCAAAUUUAAAAUCUGGCGGUCUUUGGCCGUCCGAGUUGUAGUCUGGAGAAGUGCUUUCCGCGCUGGACCGUGUAUAAGUCUCUUGGAACAGAGCGUCAUAGAGGGUGAGAAUCCCGUCUUUGACACGGACUACCAGUGCUUUGUGAUGCGCUCUCAAAGAGUCGAGUUGUUUGGGAAUGCAGCUCAAAAUGGGUGGUGAAUUCCAUCUAAAGCUAAAUAUUGGCGAGAGACCGAUAGCGAACAAGUACCGUGAGGGAAAGAUGAAAAGCACUUUGGAAAGAGAGUUAAACAGUACGUGAAAUUGCUGAAAGGGAAACGCUUGAAGUCAGUCGCGUCUGCCGGAACUCAGCCUUCCUCUUGGUUGGUGCACUUUCCGGUAGACGGGUCAGCAUCGAUUUUGACCGUCGGAAAAGGGCUGGGGAAAUGUGGCACCCUUCGGGGUGUGUUAUAGUCUUCAGUCGCAUACGGCGGUCGGGAUCGAGGAACGCAGCGCGCCGCAAGGCAGGGGUUCGCCCACUUACGCGCUAAGGAUGCUGGCAUAAUGGCUUUAAACGACCCGUCUUGAAACACGGACCAAGGAGUCUAACAAACCUGCGAGUGUUUGGGUGGAAAACCCGAGCGCGUAAUGAAAGUGAAAGUUGAGACCUCUGUCGUGGAGGGCAUCGACGCCCGGACCUGACGUUCUCUGACGGAUCCGCGGUAGAGCAUGUUUGUUGGGACCCGAAAGAUGGUGAACUAUGCCUGAAUAGGGUGAAGCCAGAGGAAACUCUGGUGGAGGCUCGUAGCGAUUCUGACGUGCAAAUCGAUCGUCAAAUUUGGGUAUAGGGGCGAAAGACUAAUCGAACCAUCUAGUAGCUGG